rnacentral:rRNA from 1 species
UACGUAGGCAGCAAGCGUUGUUCGGAAUUACUGGGCGUAAAGAGUGUGUAGGCGGUGUUCUAAGUCUGGUGUGAAAUCUCCCGGCUCAACUGGGAGGGUGCGCUAGAAACUGGAAUGCUAGAGGAUGGGAGAGGUAAGCGGAAUUCCUGGUGUAGCGGUGAAAUGCGUAGAUAUCAAGAGGAACACCUGUGGUGUAGACAGCUUACUGGACCAUUUCUGACGCUGAGACACGAAAGCGUGGGUAGCAAACAGG